GCCAAGUCUGCCCUGUCCUUAGCUUCUGCAGGAGGUGUGGGGAACUCUGCCUUCUACAAUGUGAUGCUGCACAGAGAGCUGUCUGUCAUCUUCGACCAAUUCCAUGGCAUUCAGGACACUGUGAUAGGGGAAGGAACGCACUUUCUCAUCCCAUGGGAAAAGAAACCAAUUAUUUUUGACUGCUGCUCUUGACCACAUUAUGCACCAAUCAUCACUGUGAGCAAAGAUUGUCACCAUCACACUGGGCGUCCUCUUCCCACCUUGUUGCUGGCCAGGUCCUUGCAUCUUCCAAUUACUGGAGAAGCCAAUGAAGAAUGUGCUGCCAUCCAUCACUGCGGAGCUCCUCAAGCUGGGGGCGGCUCAGGCUGACGCUGGAGAACUGAUCACGCAGGGAGAGCUGGGCUCCAGACAGGUGAGCAAUUAACUUCGGAGCAAGCAGCAACCUUUGGGCUCCUCCUGGAUGCUGUGACCUUGGAUCUGACCUUCGGGAAGGAAUUUGCAGAAGCAGUGGAACCAAAGAGGUGGCUCAGCAGGAAGAAGAGAGGGCCAGAUCUGUGGUGGCAAGGGCUGAGCAGCAGAAGACGGCGGCCAUCAUCUCUGCCGAGGGCGACUCCAAGGCCACGGAGUUCAUCGCCAGCUCAGUGGCCACCGCAGGUGACGGCCUG
rnacentral:lncRNA from 1 species